rnacentral:tRNA from 1 species
GGUCCGAUAGCUCAGCUGGAUAGAGCACUUGACUACGAAUCAAGGGGUCGGGGGUUCGAAUCCUCCUCGGACCGCCA